rnacentral:rRNA from 1 species
UAUACUUGGGAGUCAGACUGUGGGUGAUAAGAUUCAUAGUCGAAAGGGCAACAGCCCAGAUCGUCAGCUAAGGUCCCUAAAUGUAAGUUAAGUGGUAAAGGAUGUGGGAUUGCACAGACAACCAGGAUGUUGGCUUAGAAGCAGCCACUCAUUCAAAGAGUGCGUAAUAGCUCACUGGUCGAGUGAUCCUGCGCCGAAGAUUUCCGGGGCUAAAACUUACUACCGAAGCUACGGCAUCAGUAAUGAUGGGUAGGGGAGCUUCCCAUACGGGUUGAAGCAUGACCGUAAGGACAUGUGGACAGUAUGGGAGUGAGAAUGUUGGCAUGAGUAGCGAGAUGUGGGUGAGAAUCCCACAGGCCGUAAACCCAAGGUUUCCAGGGGAAGGUUCGUCCGCCCUGGGUUAGUCGGGACCUAAGCUGAGGCCGAAAGGCGUAGGUGAUGGACAACAGGUUGAUAUUCCUGUACUACCGAUAACCGUUUGAGAGAAGGGAUGACACAGUAGGAUAAGCUAAGCACACUGUUGGUUAUGUGUGCCCAAGCAUUGAGGCAGUCAAAGUAGGCAAAUCCGCUUUGAUAAUGCUGGGAUGUGAUGGGGAGCGAAAUUUAGUAGCGAAGUAGCUGAUUUCACACUGUCAAGAAAAGUCUCUAUCGAGGUUAAAGGUACCCGUACCGCAAACCGACACAGGUGGGUGAGGAGAGUAUCCUAAGGCCAGCGAGAGAACUGUUGUUAAGGAACUCGGCAAAAUGACCCCGUAACUUAGGGAUAAGGGGUGCCACCAUCAGGUGGCCGCAGAGAAUAGGCCCAAGCGACUGUUUACCAAAAACAUAGGUUUCUGCUAAGUCGCAAGACGAUGUAUAGGAGCUGACGCCUGCCCGGUGCUGGAAGGUUAAGGGGAUCUGUUAGAGCAAUCGAAGCAGUGAACUUAAGCCCCAGUAAACGGCGGCCGUAACUAUAACGGUCCUAAGGUAGCGAAAUUCCUUGUCGGGUAAGUUCCGACCCGCACGAAAGGCGUAACGAUUUGGGCACUGUCUCAACAACAGACUCGGUGAAAUUGUAAUUCCGGUGAAGAUGCCGGAUACCUGCGACAGGACGGAAAGACCCCAUGGAGCUUUACUGUAGCUUGACAUUGGGUCUUGGUACUACAUGUACAGGAUAGGUGGGAGGCUUUGAAACCAGGACGCCAGUUUUGGCGGAGCCAUCCUUGGGAUACCACCCUUGUAGUACUGGGACUCUAACCAUAGGCCAUGAAUCUGGUCUUGGGACACUGUCAGGUGGGCAGUUUGACUGGGGCGGUCGCCUCCCAAAAGGUAACGGAGGCGCUCAAAGGUUCUCUCAGUACGGUCGGAAAUCGUACGUAGAGUGUAAAGGCAAAAGAGAGCUUGAUUGCAAGACAUACAGGUCGAGCAAGGAUGAAAAUCGGACUUAGUGAUCCGGUGGUUCUGCGUGGAAGGGCCAUCGCUCAACGGAUAAAAGCUACCCUGGGGAUAACAGGCUUAUCUCCCCCAAGAGUCCACAUCGACGGGGAGGUUUGGCACCUCGAUGUCGGCUCAUCACAUCCUGGGGCUGUAGUAGGUCCCAAGGGUUGGGCUGUUCGCCCAUUAAAGUGGUACGCGAGCUGGGUUCAGAACGUCGUGAGACAGUUCGGUCCCUAUCCGUCGCAGGCGUAGGAAAUUUGAGAAGACCUGUCCUUAGUACGAGAGGACCGGGAUGGACG